AGACAAAUUUCGUGCACCAUCCUAUUUUGAGCAUAUUACUUUCGAUUUGUCCUAUCUUUGUUCAUUCGUCUUUUGUAUUGGAAAUGUGUUUUCUUGUUCAGUGUAUAUCUUCAUCAUUUCGAUAGUAGCCAAUGGUAGCUGGUAGCCAUUUGCAAUAAAUAAAAAAUCUAAGAUAUUGCUAUAUUGGUCAUGUUGCUUCUAGGGUGACGAAAUUUAGUUCAAUCCUGUGAUCAUUCGCCAUUUAGUGGUCAGUGUCUUAAUUCGCAGUUUGAACAACAAGAAAGUGAAAGAAGUCUUCCUAAUUUGAAUGAAAAUAAAAAGCGACGUCGAAAUACAAAAGAAAAAGCAAACUUUUGGUCUACGUGAAAACGGUGAACACAACAUCUUAGAAAGCAACCUGUUGUCAAUACAAACGCAUUUUCCAUAAUCGCCGGUGCUUUUAUUGAAAAAGUAUUGUCGUAAAAGUUAACAUGUGUUUCUCCCCCAAUUAUAUUAAUGCUGUUCUGUUGACGUUUGUAAUCCAUCUUGUAAUGCUAUGGACAUCGCUUGAAGGUUUAUCUCUUGAUGAUAGUGCACAAGUUAGUUGUGAUGAGAAAUCAACUUUGCCUGGGAAUAGUCUUCUGGUUACUCAUGCAACGCCAUCAGCCGCAAAUGGAAGUGUAUCAAUAAAAUCUGUAUUCAAUGAUACUCUCCUAUCUGUUAGUUUUCUAUCAUGGAAAUACAAAGUGCAAGGUGUUUCUAUUAUAAAGACAAUGAGGACAGGAACUAGCUCGAACCUUCAAUGGCACUUUGCAAAAAUUGGUCUUCACAAGGUUGCAGUUGCAGUGAAGUUUCAUAAACAUUCUAAUCAUGAGGAAUAUGAGAUGUCGAAUUGCACUUAUGUAAAUGUCACUGAUUGUCUUUUGAUGCCCAUUGUGCAAGUAUCUACUUUGAAUGGAGUGUCAAAUGUUUCUGAAAAUGACACUAAAGUAUCUUUUGAUGCACCGGGCUUUGCUAACCUCACAGUCUUGAUGAGAACUACUGAUCCUUAUUUCGCUUGUAAACGGCUUGCAUAUUUGUGGAACUUUAAUGAUGGCAGUCACUUUUCUGGAAUGCACGCACCCAAUACUACAAUACGCCUGGUUAUUUUUCUGUUAAUUUGAAUGUAUACAAAGUCUUCGAAUCUGAAAAGAAUCGUCAGUUGGUUACAGAUUUCUCAUUGACAUUACAUGUGAAAGAGGCAGAAAAGAAGCCAAGUGGCAGUGAUACAGCUAUUGACAUCACUUUGGUGCUGUCUAUAUUUAUUGUUUGUUUUGUGUUUGUCAUUUGUGUUUCUGUCUACUGGUUUCGCCAGCGUUAUCAUCGACAUACGGAAGUGGCUGCAUUUGAUUUUCGGCCUUUCGAACUUCAGAGUUCUGUUAACGGUGAUCACUGCCACAGUUACAGCAAUUAUAGAAGCAGAAUUCGAAGCUUAGUAAGUUGUCGAAGCGCAAACAAAGAACAAUUGUUGGACAAUGACUUUUAUCGUUACAGUUAUGGUGCUUGUUCUGGAUAGUUUAAUGUUAAUUGUUUGAAUAUGUUUGUAUUAUUUGUGCAUUGAGUUGAUGUGAAGAAAUAAGUGAGGUAUUUUAGUAUGAAAGAAAUUUUGAACCUCGUCAAAUAAAUUAUCAGUGUGAUUAGCAAACUUA